GCGGGAAUGGCGGAAUUGGCAGACGCGCUAGGUUGAGGGCCUAGUGGCCGCAAGGCCGUGGAGGUUCAAGUCCUCUUUCCCGCA
rnacentral:tRNA from 2 species